UUACGGCCAUAUCAUUUUGAAACACGGGUUCUCGUAAAAUCACUGAAGUUAAGCAACGUCAAGUCUGAUCAGUACCUAGAUGGGUGAUCGCUUGGGAAUACCAGGUGAUGUAGG